UUUCCUUUCUGAUGGGCAGGUGACAUAGUUCUUAUGUGUCCUUUAUAAUGUUAAUUUUCCUUUUUGAUGGACAGGAGACACAGUUCUCACAUGUCCUCUAAUGUUAAGUUUCCUUUGUAAUAGAUGGGAGACACAAUCCUCCUGUGUCCUCUGUAAAGACACCUUCCAGUUUUGUCCUCAUCUCCUUCCUCAAUGGGUGGAUCAGUUUACAGCAUCUAAGACAUGCCAAAGACUGCAGCACCAACUGAACUGUCUAACACCAUUAGACCUCAUAGAGACACAUUUUACUUCCUGGCUGUCCGAGUCAUCUUUAAAGCACAGGAUGAGAAAACACCUGCUGGUCUUUGCCUCACUUUUUCUCUGACUCUGAGAUUCUGGAUCAGCUCAUACCGAACAAGACAUCAUGCCACCACAGAGCAGAUGUUGGAGCACUAUCUUAACUGUCAGUGGACACCUCACGGCUGGACCACAGAGACACGUGUUCUCUCUGUCAGUUUCGAGUUUUUUUCACAACAGAUAAUAAGCUCCUUCUCCUCUGUGAUUUCUCCACUUCACAAUGAAGACACUCAGGACUGCAGAAAGGGCUAAACACACAAAUGAAGAUCAUGCAGCGUAUUCAGUUGCACUGGCGAUACAAGUUGUUCUGCCCUGCAGCCCGAGUUCAAGGACCAGCAUUGUCCUCCUACCCCCCUGUCUCCAUUUGUGCAUCCAUUGGUGCCCACUGGUCCGUUCAGCAGAGACUAACAGUUGGUUCUUAAGCAAGAGAUCAUGUGUGCAACUGCAAUGAAACAGCUGCAGAUGAGUCUUCAGUCAGUCAUCACUGUCACAGCCCCAAUUUUGUGAAGCAUUAAGCUCCUUCCUAAACCAGCAGUAACGGUAACAAUUUGUUAAUAUAUCCUUUUUAAAAUAUAUCUCUGGUAGUCUUACUACUUGCAUGUGCUAUUUACAUUUUUAACUACAUGAAUGAAGCUUCUCCUGUUUUUGUCUUUAAGGCCUCUCCUCCUCCAUGUUGCUAUAGAAACACUAUCCUUGCACUAAGCAAUGACAUAAUAACUGGUGUAGUGGUUCAGGUCAAAGGUCACAAUACUACAGGUCUUUACAGCGUACAAAACAAAUUCAAGAAAAGUAUGGUUAUCUCUAAAAACUA